rnacentral:rRNA from 1 species
GACGAACGCUGGCGGCGUGCUUAACACAUGCAAGUCGAACGGCAAGGCCCUGCUUUUGUGGGGUGCUCGAGUGGCGAACGGGUGAGUAACACGUGAGUAACCUGCCCUAGACUUUGGGGUAACUUCAGGAAACUGGGGCUACUACCGGAUAGGAGCUCCUGCUGCAUGGUGGGGGGUGGAAAGUUUCGGCGGGUGGGGAUGGACGGGCGGCUUAUGGGCUUGUUGGUGGGGUAGUGGCUUACCAAGGCUUGGACGGGUCGCCGGCCUGUGAGGGUGACCGGCCACAAUGGGACUGAGAGACGGAGCAGACUCGAACGGGAGGCAGUGGGGGGGAGUCUGAUACAGUGGGCGGAAGUCUGAUGCGGCAGCGCCGCGUGCGGAAUGACGGCCUUCGGGUAGUAAACAGCUUCCGCCUGUGACGAAGCGUUAGUGACGGUAAUGAGUAAAGAAGCACCGGCUAACUACGUG